rnacentral:tRNA from 1 species
GGAGGGGUGGCAGAGCGGCUGAUUGCACCGGUCUUGAAAACCGGAGACGGGGAAACCCGUUCCAGGGUUCAAAUCCCUGCCCCUCCG